CCCAACUUUUUUUUCCAUAAAAGCUACUUUAAUCAAACCCAAUCAUUCUUCUAGCAUAAAUCAUGCAUUAAACUUCACAAACAACCAAGAAUCAAGAAAUAUCAAUGGUUUUGGCAACGAAUUACAUUCGAGCCUCACAUCGAACACAUUAAGAGCGCAAACAUCUUGCUUCUAUUUGGCAAGUAAUUGGGUACUCAGACAUCCCCACAUUUUGAAAUGAACAAACUCACUCACUCUCAACCAAACCUCACCCAGAAAUCACAAAGAAUUUGGGCAAAGGGUGGCAGCCAUUUGAACCCUAGGGUUUUAGAGAUU
rnacentral:lncRNA from 1 species